GCGCCAUUCCAUUCUCUUUACACGCGUGUAUACUUUUCCUCUAUUUUGUAAACCCUAAUUACUAUACAACCGUUUCAAAAUCAUCUAUUCAUCUUCUCUCCAAUUUCUUCCUAGAAUACCAAUCAGUUUCCAUAUAACAAAGAUUAUUGUCAAGCAAGAUACAUAUACAGAUGAUUACACGUUCUUCAAGAUCUCCGUCUACUUCAUCAUUUUCUUAAAUCGAUUUCUGAAUAUCUUCCAUCGAUCUCCAAAUCUUUAAGAUGCGUUUGUUUAAUUCUGUCUUUAAUCAUCCUUUAUGCUUUCUUCCGUUUACUUACUGUUUUAAAAUUACGUUUCUUUUAUAUAAACCCUAAAUCCGUUUAUAAUCGAAAAUCUGUUGAUUUUGUCUAUUAACAUUAUGGUUUUGUUAUAUAAAUUGAUGGUUAUGGUUAUGCAAAGGCCUAAAUCCUAUUUGUGAUGAAUAUUUGCGUGAUUUGAGGAAGAGGAGGAUUCUGAAAUCUGUGCAUAGGUUUGUUAGAUGGCCACAAGUUUCAUGAUUCAGAGGAAGAGGAGGAUUUUGAAACAGAGGUUGAAGGUUCCACCGACUUUGAAUCAGUUUACUAAGACGCUUGAUAAGAAUCUAGGUAUUGUAUGUAUCUUUACAUAGACAUGAAGGUGGAACAUUUUAUCCUAGUACUGGCGCAGUCCAAACUAAUGUCAGAUCAUGAACAUGAUGAUUCCGAUACUGAGUUCAUUGAUAUCGAUAUAGCUGGUUCUUAUGGUUGGGUAUUGUAUCUAUCUUUACAUAGACAUGAAGGUGGAAAAUUUACAGCCUAAAAAUGGAAGCUUAAGGCCCAUAUGCAAGACCGUGAAGUUGUGA